UCCGAUGCCAUUCUCAUACCUUUUUCGCUCGUUCGUAGAGUUAUAUGAUACUCAGACUGCGUAUGACGCGUGAUACGCAAGCACUAGUUGUACAUUUGUCAGAUAUUAACUGCAACAAAACCGAUUAGAUUGUGGAGCCCACUAUCGCCGAGUCAAAAACCAAAUAUCAUAUUGUUUUAUAAAUCCUAACAUCUGAUUUGUGGACACUUGUUUGAGGAAACAGGAUCGUUGGAUCUUUUCAUUUUUAACCGUCCAAUAUCUGUUCGCCAAUCCAAUAGUCACAUAAAUAAACGAAACUUAAUUGUCGGUACGUGAUGCAUCUUCAGUGGUUAACAUAACUUGGACGGUUUAAUUUGACUACUUACAUGCCACGUAUGCAAUUUCUAAGUGCCUGCGUAUCAUCCAUCGCACUGCCAGCGUAUCAAAGUUUUCUCUUUUCUCUUUCGGCUUCCUCCCGCAACCCGCAAACCUAAUCCCCCUAAAACUCUCUCUCUCUCUCUCUCUCUCUAAAGCUCGAUUCUGCCGCGAGAUUGCACGAUUCGACUCGACUGCUUUCGUCAGGUUAUUCUCGACUCAGAGAGAGAGAGAGAGAGAGAGGAAUUUGUUCUUUUUCUUCAUAUCUAUUUCUCCUUCGUCUUCAUUUUUCUUCUUCUGCUGCUGUAGCUGCUGCAAUUUCCAACCUUGGGUCAGGGUCCUGGCUUGGUCUAGUCACAAUAACAGAACUAAAUAAGUAAACUAUUGAGGUUUGAUGCUAGUCACCAUCUCGAAAGUUGAAAAGAGUCUUGUAGUGCGAUUGAAGGAAUUGUUAUAGGCAUACUUGGGGUGAGACAACAUUAGUUCCCACGUUUUGAGGCAAUUACCAGCUAAGCAUCGAAGAAGAUUACCAUGAUUGUAGUCUUUAAUCUGAGUAUCUUCUGCCACCCUAAUCUUGAGCUUUCCUUGGACUUGGGGUCGACAAAUACGUUAACCUCUUUCUGUAAGAAAUGCGUUUACUAAUGUGGCCCAUUGUAAAUAAUUCUCACCACUGAGUUUGAUCGAUUUUAUAUAAAGAUUUAUUGGCUCAGAUGAAGCCGGAAGAUUAUUAUUAGUAUCAUUCUUGAUGUCCAUAUUUAAGGAAGAGUAGAGAUCAAAUACAUGGGAAGAACUUGAAUUUGAACUUGAACUCACCCAACACUUGUUUUAUAGAUCAAUGAUCACCACCACACAUGGAGGAACCGAUUGAUGACGAAUAAGAACCUUUUACUUUCAUUCAUGAUCUCUAUAGUACACCCUCACUUGAUCUUCAAAUCUGACCUUAGAUGCACAAGAACCCACUUUCUACCAUCAUGAUUGGUUGUAUGUGGAAGUGGGCCUCAAGCAUUCUCACGAGGCACAACUAGACAACCCACCAUAUGGUAGUUGAGCAACAAUUGAAGGUGAUUUGUGUAAAUCAACCCCCAAAUGAUUUAGGGUUUCACCGUGUAGAGAAAAAAAAGAGAGAGGAGAGAGAAGUGAGAAGGGGAAAAACAAGAUACUAGAUAUUUUACUUCUCUAAUACCAUGUUCUUUGAGGGAUUGUUUGGAAGCCAUUUACUCCCAAUUCAUUUACCUGCAAUUCCAUUUCCCAUUUGCCUCUAUUUACAAAACUCCCAAACGAGCCUUGAGUGAGAUUGAGGAGGAGAUAAUAUGAUAAGCAUGAAAAAGAGAAAGAAAGCAACAGAGGUGGUGAUGCCCCUACCCUCUCCUCUUACUUAUCAGUAGGCUUUCAUGAUAUAUGUGAAAGUAAAAAAAUAACCCCCAUGCUUUAAGUUAUUACAUAAACCAAAGCCCAUCUACUUAAAGUGAUGGGGACAUCAGAGUACCUGCUCGGGUGUAUUAAAGAUGGAGGCGACCACCCACAUUGGCGCGGUUCUCUUUGUGGAUGGGAGACGAGUUCCAGAUGGGGCUUGCCAGGCUAUUUUGAAGACCCCACAUGCAUUUGACGUGAUCAGGAAGAACCCACUUUGGGAUGAUGCAUGUGGGUUGCUGAAGAGACCGAUUUACUCAUAGGAUUUUUAUUUCGUGUCGAUCCGACCGUUUGAUCUUGUCAAUUAGGUCAUAGGGCCACUAGAUCACCAGAUCUUUGAAGAUCUGGGCCCAUUGGACUCCAAUCUUGCUUCCUUUAUAUUUUUAUUAAUUUUAAGAUUUAUUUGAUAGUUGGGAUUGAUAAUAAGUUUUUUAGUUUCCUUAUUUUCGAUAAUGGGCCAUUUCACCUAAGUGAGUGGCAUAGUUGUAAUUAUUUUGAAAUUUUAUUAUAAAAGCAUGGGAGGCUUAGGUAUGCAAGUCAUUCCUCACCCUCAUCCCUAUCAAGUCUCAUGGGUUGAUGCGUCUUCGAUUUUGGUUUCUCAGCGUUGUCCCAUUCGCAUCCAGUUUGUUUCUUAUACGAACACGUUGUGGUUUGAUGUUUUACACAUAUGAAUAUAGGCCAUAACAUUUUGGGCAGGCCUUGGUUGAAUGAUAGGGACACAACCAAGGUGUUCUGUAUCUGUUAUGAUACGCCCGUAAAGGCCGAUGCGUAUAGGUAACGGCCAUGACCGUUACACGAUACGAGGGUGAAAAGGGGUAGUUAGUU